rnacentral:rRNA from 1 species
UGAGGAAUAUUGGGCAAUGCCCGCAAGGGUGACCCAGCAACGCCGCGUGGAGGAUGAAUGUCGUAAGAUUGUAAACUCCUGUUAGAGGGGAAGAAUAGUACCGGUUGGACCGGUAUAUGACUGUACCCUCAGAGAAAGCCCCGGCUAACUACGUGCCAGCAGCCGCGGUAAUACGUAGGGGGCAAGCGUUGUCCGGAUUUACUGGGUGUAAAGGGCGCGCAGGCGGGAUAAAAAGUCAGUGGUGAAAUCCUACAGCUUAACUGUAGAACUGCCUUUGAUACUUUUAUUCUUGAGUUCGGGAGAGAGAGACGGAAUUCCAGGUGUAGUGGUGAAAUACGUAGAUAUCUGGAAGAACACCAGUUGCGAAGGCGGUCUCUUGGUCCGACACUGACGCUGAGGCGCGAAAGCGUGGGGAUCAAACA